rnacentral:rRNA from 1 species
AGUGAACGCUGGCGGUAGGCCUAACACAUGCAAGUCGAACGGCAGCACAGUAAGAGCUUGCUCUUACGGGUGGCGAGUGGCGGACGGGUGAGGAGUACAUCGGAAUCUACUUUUUCGUGGGGGAUAACGUAGGGAAACUUACGCUAAUACCGCAUACGACCUACGGGUGAAAGCAGGGGAUCUUCGGACCUUGCGCGAUUGAGUGAGCCGAUGUCGGAUUAGCUAGUUGGCGGGGUAAAGGCCCACCAAGGCGACGAUCCGUAGCUGGUCUGAGAGGAUGAUCAGCCACACUGGAACUGAGACACGGUCCAGACUCCUACGGGAGGCAGCAGUGGGGAAUAUUGGACAAUGGGCGCAAGCCUGAUCCAGCCAUACCGCGUGGGUGAAGAAGGCCUUCGGGUUGUAAAGCCCUUUUGUUGGGAAAGAAAAGCAGCAGGUUAAUACCCCGCUGUUCUGACGGUACCCAAAGAAUAAGCACCGGCUAACUUCGUG